rnacentral:rRNA from 1 species
GACGAACGCUGGCGGCGUGCUUAACACAUGCAAGUCGAACGGAAAGGCCCUGCUUGCAGGGUACUCGAGUGGCGAACGGGUGAGUAACACGUGGGUGAUCUGCCCUGCACUUCGGGAUAAGCCUGGGAAACUGGGUCUAAUACCGGAUAGGAGCCAUUUUUAGUGUGAUGGUUGGAAAGUUUUUUCGGUGUAGGAUGAGCUCGCGGCCUAUCAGCUUGUUGGUGGGGUAAUGGCCUACCAAGGCGGCGACGGGUAGCCGGCCUGAGAGGGUGGACGGCCACAUUGGGACUGAGAUACGGCCCAGACUCCGACGGGAGGCAGCAGUGGGGAAUAUUGCACAAUGGGCGCAAGCCUGAUGCAGCGACGCCGCGUGGGGGAUGACGGCCUUCGGGUUGUAAACUCAUUUCGCUAGGGACGAAGCUUUUUGUGACGGUACCUAGAUAAGAAGCACCGGCUAACUACGUG